rnacentral:rRNA from 1 species
UACGUAGGGGGCAAGCGUUGUCCGGAAUCAUUGGGCGUAAAGAGCGUGUAGGCGGUCCGAUAAGUCCGCUCUGAAAGUCCGGGGCUCAACCCCGGGAGGCGGGCGGAUACUGUCGGGCUAGAGUCCGGAAGAGGCAAGUGGAAUUCCUGGUGUAGCGGUGAAAUGCGCAGAUAUCAGGAGGAACACCGGUGGCGAAGGCGGCUUCUUGGGCCGUUCCUGACGCUGAGGCGCGAAAGCCAGGGGAGCAAACAGG